GCCUGGGUGGCUUAGUCGGUUAAGCAUCUGACUUUGGCUCAGGUAAUAAUCACAGUUCGUGGCUUCGAGCCCCAUUUAGGCC
rnacentral:tRNA from 1 species